UUUGCUUGCUGAAUACACGCAUUCCCUGCAUUAUCUCACAACUGUUCCAAAUUUAAGAAGCGAGGGCAUGGGAGGUGUGCAGAAAGUGGCGUGCUCUUUUACCCUCCCAGACAAAGGCACGUGUUUGAGAACCUAGGAAACCUCUCGCUCAGCCCCCCCAGCGGGCCUGACUCUCGGCCCUGGGCACCUUGCGGUGAGUCCAUGCUGUGCCUCACUCUGAAUGGCACCCCUUCCCUUAGCUGAAACAUGUCAGGUUCACCUUUCACACUUCCAAAAACAUUUGCAUGGUUUUGUAAAUAUUCAGAGAAUACUUUCAUUAUUUCUUAUCUGCAAACUCGAGUGAAAAACCAUAACCAUUAAUAUGUACUCUGUUUUGCAAGAUAGACAUGACCCACAGCUUACAAUGGGAAAAAUAACGGAUACAUUUACCACCAGGCAUUUUGUAAGGGAGAGAGUUAUUUUGGGUCUUUUCUUGGGGACAGUGGCCAAGCUGUACGCAGCACUUACUGUCCCUGGAAGCUGCAGGAACAAUGGUGUCAAAUGUCUUGCACAGUGGCAGGGCCGGGGCCUCACACAAUGUCUGCUUUUCAGAAAUGGCAUGCAACACCCAGUAAGCGGCUGCACAGGGCCGCCCGGUACCAGCGCGUGUUAGCUACUAUUUUUUAAGGAUAAAAAUAACUUAAAAGCUCUUCAAGCGAGAAACUAUUCAGUAAAAUACUUUCAAAAAGCCUCAGGCAGUAACACGAUUUUCCAGAUUAGGGGAAGGUGAUGUAAUAAUUAGACAAAUGGGAAGAAGGAUGCUCCGAGGUAUCAUUUAUAAAACUGGCCUCGGAGGACUCCCUCCAACCGCACUGGAUAUACGACCAAGCUACUCCCAGAUAUACACUGCUUUAGAAAAGAAUGCAUACUAACAUUUAAAUGCCUUGUUUUUCUUUCAGGAAACAUUUUGAGAAAAUGUAUCAAUCAAAGAAUCAGAUAUUAUUUACAUUUUAUAAGGCCUAUCAGAAGGAAGCAAUUGAAAUAUUUCCCAUCCAUGCAUCUAGAGGAGGAAGAGACUUUUAAAGGAACAAGCUGGGAUAGAUUCUUGUGAGUCAGGCUUGGGUUAUUUCUGAGGGGUGCGGGCUACCAUGACAUCUAAAAGCUGUAAAUAAGUGCUGUGGCCUGCAGGGCACCCCGCAGACCUGCUGGUGACCCUGCCCUGCUCCUGCUGCAAUCACUGGAGGCCAGUGUGACACUCACAGCAGCAUGGACAUGGGUUGCAAGGUCCUUUUCGGUCUCAACCUCUACAAACACCCAAAUGCAGUGCAUGAAAUGUUUUCA